rnacentral:pre_miRNA from 1 species
UAGGGUCACCAACUGUCCCAGUUUGCCUGAGACUGAGGAAUUUCCUGGCAUACAGAUGUUCCAUACCAGUGCCAGGACAGUUAGUUCCAGGCAAACUGGGACAGUUGGUCACCCAGGUGCCCA